GAUGAACGCUAGCUACAGGCUUAACACAUGCAAGUCGAGGGACCGGCGCUCGGGUGAGUAACACGUAUCCAACCUGCCCUUUACUCGGGGAUAGCCUUUCGAAAGAAAGAUUAAUACCCGAUAUAAAGGAUGGGGAUGCGUUCCAUUAGGUUGUUGGUGAGGUAACGGCUAACCAAGCCUUCGAUGGAUAGGGGUUCUGAGAGGAAGGUCCCCCACAUUGGAACUGAGACCCAGUCCAAACUCCGACGGGACGCAGCAGUUAGUAAUAUUGGGCAAUGAGCGCUAGCCAGAAACAGCCAAGUAGCGUGAAGGAUGAAGGCUUAUGGGUCGUAGUCUUCUUUUAAAUAAGAAUAGGUAUUAUAUGAAUAAGGAUCGGCUAACUCCGUGCCAGCAGCCGCGGUAAUUC
rnacentral:rRNA from 1 species